UGCUUAACACAUGCAAGUCGAACGGCAGCAUGGUCCAGUUUACUGGAUGGGUGGCGAGUGGCGAACGGGUGAGUAAUACGAAGGAAUAUACCCUGGAGAGGGGGAUAACUUGGGGAAACUCAAGCUAAUACCGCGUGAUAUCUGAGGAUUAAAGCUGGGGACCUUAUGGCCUAGCGCUUCAGGAAUAGCCUUUGUCCGAUUAGCUAGUUGGUGUGGUAAAGGCGUCACCAAGGCGAUGAUCGGUAGCUGGUCUGAGAGGAUGGACAGCCACACUGGGACUGAGACACGGCCCAGACUCCUACGGGAGGCAGCAGUGGGGAAUAUUGGACAAUGGGGGCAACCCUGAUCCAGCAAUGCCGCGUGUGUGAAGAAGGCCUGAGGGUUGUAAAGCUU
rnacentral:rRNA from 1 species